AUUAAACGCUGGCGGCAUGCCUUACACAUGCAAGUCGAACGGUAGCGCGGGGCAACCUGGCGACGAGUGGCGAACGGGUGAGUAAAGCAUCGGAACGUGCCCUGGAAUGGGGGAUAACGUAGCGAAAGUUACGCUAAUACCGCAUAUUCUGUGAGCAGGAAAGCAGGGGAUCGCAAGACCUUGCGUUCUGGGAGCGGCCGAUGUCGGAUUAGCUAGUUGGUGGGGUAAAAGCCUACCAAGGCGACGAUCCGUAGCGGGUCUGAGAGGAUGAUCCGCCACACUGGGACUGAGACACGGCCCAGACUCCUACGGGAGGCAGCAGUGGGGAAUUUUGGACAAUGGGCGGAAGCCUGAUCCAGCCAUGCCGCGUGAGUGAAGAAGGCCUGUGU
rnacentral:rRNA from 1 species